CACUGAGGCGUACACAGCCCCGGGAGCUCCUGCUCCGCGCGACCGGCGGGGCUGGCAGCCGUAGAUCUCCACUGCACGUGCAGGCGCAGGUCAUCGCUGCAACUGUCGCCGGGCAGGAAGGUGGCACCCGUCCGGGUCAGCGCCGCGCUGCCCGUCCGCAGGAAGGGGGUGAAGAUACCCCCGUGACACAGCACAAGGCCUGGGCUGCGGCUCAGGAUCACCCCGCUGCAACUCCACGAGCCUGUGUCAGGCUGCCCGGCCCGCGAGGCGCUCACCACACAGCCCGCCUGCUCCGCCACCUUCAUGGAGGGACCCCACUGCCGUCCCAUGGUUUCCCCAAGACGUCGCACAACGGCUGUCACCUCUGGGCGACCGGCGCAAGCGCUGACUCAGGUGUUCCAUGAUGGCACCCGGCUUUCCCUGGCAAAUCCUGCCAGCCCAAGUCCCUGACACUGACCUGCACCAGCAGACAGGUAGUGUUACUUCCCACGAGUGGAGAAGAGCACAUGUCACCACUGGGCGAUGAACGUAGACAGAGAUGCAUGGCUUUUCAAUGCCAGACAUGGUUGGAGAGCUUUCCUUGUUCUAUUAGAAAAGUCCAUGAGGAAGCUGUGAAUAGGAUCAGUCCAGAAGUAAAACUCUUUAUUUUCACUGUCCAAA